ensembl:lncRNA MAP3K9-DT MAP3K9 divergent transcript
GUCCGUUUCCUGGGAGAGUUCAGCACCUCCCGGCAGGAAGAGGCUCCGGCCUCAUUGGGUGCGUGAGAAGGGAAGGGUGGAUCCUAAAAGGUAAUACUGAGCCUUCAUUCAAACUAAAAGGCUGGAAGGGAGGCAGCUGCCUUUGUUUGCCAUGGAUGGGUAGGGGCUGCACUGAGCAGCACCGGUGUUCUUCAUCCGGCUGCACCCCCAACAGAGCUCUUUCUUCCCCAGAUCCCUUUUACAGUUGGAUUCUCCCUCUUGGAUCUGGCUCUGCCUUAGUCCGACCUAGAGGGAUCAGCUUCGCCCACGCCCACUCUCACCCGGAACCUUUCAUCUCUUAUUGAAGCCUUUUAGGCCCAUUGGGAUGUUCAUUAGAACUCUGAAAACUACAGUUCUCCCCUUUAUGAGGACUGCACCACAGCUCGCCCUCUCCUGGGUUCCGGUAAGAAGAGAUUCCAAUACCACUCUUUUUUCAGAAUUCAGAAAGGCAAGAGACCACCUUACUGAGCUUCAAACUGGGGCUGGGAACGCUGCCAUGAAUUGGGCUUGGUCUGUCUGAAGGGAGCCACCUUUUCGACAAUCCUUAGACUUCUUUUGCCUGUUGGAAUUACACCUUGGAUCGUGGCGAAGUCUAUAGAGGUCAGAUUAAGAAGAACCAAAGCAGAAUAAACGUAGAACCCGAUGCUGAGUUCACGAGUGAGGACGACCUCUUCCUAUAUGCUUUGCUAUACCCUGCGUUUUGAACAUUAAGGACGAGAUAGGAGGCCCAUAAUGUUUCUUCUUGCUUUAAUCCUGUCGUGGCAACGUUGACUUCCAGUAAGAAAGCCUGGUUGCAGAGUGAGCCCAUGGGACAGCCCUCUGAAAUUAUACUGCUUACAACCAUGCUGAGUCUGCAAGGACUUCGUCCAAGCCUUUCCGUCCAGGACCUCAAACAGAUCCAAUCACAAGAAGAGAGAUUUCAGGAAAGAGAAAAUUAUUCCUAUCAUCGGGGUUUUUGAAGAACAUGAAAUGACUGGGAAAAUAAUCAUGUUAAGUGGAAAAAAAAAAGAAAUCUAUCUGUUGUAAUUUUCAAAUAAUUUUUAAAUAAAUUUGAAAAAUUAAGAGAACUAUAUAUAUAAUACAUUCCUAAUCUUGUGAAAAAUAUAUAUGCAUUAAUAUUAUUGAAAGAAAUAUAUCAAAAGGUGAACAGCAAUUAUCACCAAUCUAGAUUAUGAGAUUAGGAGUGAUUUUUUUUCUUUGUCCUAUACUAUUUAAUAUUUUCUACCAUUAAAAUAUUCUGAUUUUCUAAUUAGAAUAGUACGUUAGACAAAGAAGGACAAAUAUCACAUGAACUCUCACUCUCUUAUGGAACAGAUCUUGUGGAAUCUAAAAAAGUUGAACUCAUAGAAAAAGAGGAAAAUGAUGGUUACCAGUUAGAAAAAAGGAAUAAGUUCAAGAGAUCUAUUGUACACCAUGGUCAAUAUAGUUAACAAUAUAUUUUAUACUUUAAAAUUGCUAAGGUAGUAGAUUUUAAGUGUUCUCACCACACAAAAAAAUAAGUAUGUGAAAAGCAUAUGGUAAUUAGCUUGAUUUAACCACGCCACAGUGCAUACAUAUGUCAAAACAUCAUGUUGUAUACUAUAAAUAUAUACACUUUUUGUCAAUUUUAAACAGGUUAUAAAAAAACAUGUUAUUGUUGAUAAUUAUGAAAAAUUUUAAUGAUGUGGAAAUGUGUACAGUAUAAUGAUAAAUGAAAGAGUAGUAAAAAUCCUUAUAAAAUAUAAUUACAAAUGUGUUGGGUGGAUAAUAUAAAAAUCUUAACAGCUAUUUCUGAGCUAAGUGGUGGAGCAUGGGUAAUUUUUAGUGCCUUCUGUGUCAGGCUGUUCUUGCAUUGCUAUGAAGAAAUACCUGGCCAGGCGCGGUGGCUCACGCCUAUAAUCCCGGCACUUUGGGAGGCCAAGGCGGGUGGAUCACCUGAGGUCAGGAGUUCGAGACCAGCCUGGCCAACAUGGUGAAACCCCGUCUCUACUAAAAAUACAAAAAUUAGCCAGGUAAGGUGGUGCGUGCCUGUAGUUCCAGCUGCUGGGGAGGCUGAGGCAGGAGAAUCGUUUGAACCCAGGAGGCGGAGGUUGCAGUGAGCUGAGAUAGCCUGGGUAACAGACCAAGACUCUGUCUCAAAAAAAAUAAAAAUAAAAAUAAAAAAGAAAUACCUGAGAAAAGGUAAUUUAUAAAGGAAAGAGGUUUAAUUGGCUUGCGAUUCUUCAAGUUUUACAUGAAGCAUGGCAGCAUCUGAUUUUAGGGAGGCCUCAGGAAGCUUCCAAUCCUGGCAUAAAGCAACGAGGAGCAGGUACGUCACAUGGCGAAAGCAGUAACAAGAGAGAGAGUAACGGGGGAGGUGCCACACCCUUUUAAACAAUCACAUCUCAUGAGAACUCACUAUCCUGAAGACAGCACCAAGGGGAUAGUGCUAAACCAUGCAUGAAAAAUCCGCCCCCAUGAUCCAAUCGCCUCCCACCAGGCCCCACCUCCCACAUUGGGGAUUACAAUUCAACAAGAGAUUGGGGCGGGGACAGACGGCCAAACUAUGUCACCUUCAUUUUACUUUUCUUUUUCCUACAGCAAAAAUAACCAUGUGAUAUUUGUGUAAUUGUAAUAAAGAACUACAAAAUCA